UGGGGAAUAUUGCACAAUGGGCGCAAGCCUGAUGCAGCCAUGCCGCGUGUAUGAAGAAGGCCUUCGGGUUGUAAAGUACUUUCAGCGGGGAAGAAGGGAGUAAAGUUAAUACCUUUGCUCAUUGACGUUACCCGCAGAAGAAGCACCGGCUAACUCCGUGCCAGCAGCCGCGGUAAUACGGAGGGUGCAAGCGUUAAUCGGAAUUACUGGGCGUAAAGCGCACGCAGGCGGUUUGUUAAGUCAGAUGUGAAAUCCCCGGGCUCAACCUGGGAACUGCAUCUGAUACUGGCAAGCUUGAGUCUCGUAGAGGGGGGUAGAAUUCCAGGUGUAGCGGUGAAAUGCGUAGAGAUCUGGAGGAAUACCGGUGGCGAAGGCGGCCCCCUGGACGAAGACUGACGCUCAGGUGCGAAAGCGUGGGGAGCAAACAGG
rnacentral:rRNA from 1 species